rnacentral:rRNA from 1 species
GAUGAACGCUGGCGGCGUGCCUAAUACAUGCAAGUCGAGCGAACAGACGAGGAGCUUGCUCCUCUGACGUUAGCGGCGGACGGGUGAGUAACACGUGGAUAACCUACCUAUAAGACUGGGAUAACUUCGGGGAACCGGAGCUAAUACCGGAUAAUAUAUUGAACCGCAUGGUUCAAUAUUGAAAGACGGUUUUGCUGUCACUUAUAGAUGGAUCCGCGCCGCAUUAGCUAGUUGGUAAGGUAACGGCUUACCAAGGCAACGAUGCGUAGCCGACCUGAGAGGGUGAUCGGCCACACUGGAACUGAGACACGGUCCAGACUCCUACGGGAGGCAGCAGUAGGGAAUCUUCCGCAAUGGGCGAAAGCCUGACGGAGCAACGCCGCGUGAGUGAUGAAGGUCUUCGGAUCGUAAAACUCUGUUAUUAGGGAAGAACAAAUGUGUAAGUAACUAUGCACGUCUUGACGGUACCUAAUCAGAAAGCCACGGCUAACUACGUG